UUUAAAAAUUACUAUUAAUAAAAAUAAUUUUAAUUUAUUAAAUAUGAGAAAUAUUUAUUUUAAAAUAGUCUCACAUUAUCAAUUGUUUACAAAUGAGGAGGGGGGGGUUAUUUUUAAAUAUAAUUCCCAACAUGAUAAUUAUUAUUUUUAGAAACAUUUAAAAAAAAUUUGAAGUUAACUGUAAUUGAUUUAAAUGAUUUUUUAUGUGUGUAUAUUAAUAUUAUUAAUAUUAAUAUAUUAAAUACCUAGUUGUCAUUUUCAGAAAUAUCAUCAAUUUUUAAAACUUUUAAGUUUAGUUGCGCUUAUAAAUUUAAGAUAUGCAUAUAAUAUCUACAAUUUUUAUCUUUACAAAGUUUGCAACUUGUCUCCUCACAUGAUGUAGCUGAAGUAUAAGACGUCUCAAUUCGUCUCACAAAACGCUCACAACGCCACGCAACCUCAGUUCUGCACAGGCGUCGCAAGUGGGCAAUAAUUGAAAUGCUAAUGUUACAGAAUUCAAUAAAUCAUAGUAAAUAUAUGAUUAUUUUAACAUUUUAACAGAAAAAAAUACCAACUAUAACAUAUAAAAAACGUAAAAAACAUUUAUUCUUAAAUACGUAAGCGCGGGUUAUCUUUCAAGUUAUCUUUUUCUACUUUUAUUGCAUUAAUUUGUUCCUACUUGAUGUCGAAAUAAGUACAGAAGAAAAAUUGUUUGAUAAAUUAAGCAAUUUAAUUGUUAUUAAUUUUGCGUAAAAGUUGAAUUUUUAGUUGAAAAUGGUCGCGCCACUAUGGUUUUUAUAAAAAUUAAUUAAUAUCCUAUAAUUUUCUUAAGAUUUAUAACCCCUUCGCUGUGAGGAGCAAAAUCUUAAAUGUGGGUCCAAAAUGUUAAGAAACUUUUUUACUAUCAAAAUUUUUAAAACUGAGUGAACUUAGGUUUUUAGGGUUGCUGAUUACGAAUCUGAUGUUAGUUUUUUAAAAUUUUAAAUGGCGGACAUAUUUAUCUAAAUUCAGUGGAUUUGCUUGAAACACGUUACAAGGGGGUUUUUGGGGUCGCUGAUUACGAAUCUGAUAUUAGUUUUUCAAAACUCAAAAUUGCGGAUCCAUAUGGAGGACAGAAAAAUUGAAAAGCAAUUGAAUUUAUUUAAAACUUAUUACUGAAAGGUUUUCAGUGUCAUCUAAAUUCAAAUUUAGAUUUUUGAAAAUAAAAACUUUGCAUGAAUUAUGGCGAAUAUUAAUAAUUUAAAUAUUAUAACGAAAUAAUUAAUUUAAUUAAGAAUUGUCAAUUAAAUAUCCCUUUUUAAUGUUACAAAAGUGUUACCCAACGUGAAAAAUGUCAGACGCCAGCCAAUUUUUGAAUGGAAUUGUCAAACCCGGAAUACCACAACUUUCACAAAUUAAACCCAAAACUUAAAAUCAACUAAAAUAAAUCUCAGAGGAGAUUCUGUCGAGAACGCAAGUCGAGAAAAGGAACACGACCCUUGAGACACGACGACAACAAAAUUGAACUUACCCACGACGAAACUCGCUCACAAUUUCCUCCCUGGUCUGCCCUCUCAGCUGGUGUCUGGAAGACGCCGGUAAGGAGAAGAUGGCCAAACACAAAACAAAACUCUCUUUUACAUACUUUAUUACCCCUUUACAAAAUAAAGGUCGAGAUUCCACUCGACGACUUUACAACUCUUCUCAAAAAUUACUCACUUCUACACACUACGAGAAAAACUUCAAAUUUAACUGCGACUUCCACUACCUCUGUACCCUGCUAAGAUCGCGUCCAUUGAAAUCUGAUUGAUUUACGCAUCGAUCGCCUUCGUCUCCGUUUUGUUCCAAUAGUGGCCGCUGUGAUGGCGCCACGUCCCGGACUUCUGCUUCUCCCUGACCCCAAACUCCCAAACGCGGGAAACUCAAACCCAAAUCCGCCAUAUUGGAUCCGCCAUUUUGAAUUUUUAAAAUCUGACUUCAUAUUCGUAACCAGCGACCUUGAAAACAUUUUGAUAUAAUUGUAUGAGAUAUUAGUUUGAUAAGAUUAUGUAUGCUGCCUGAGAUUUAAUGUAAUAAAAGUAUCCUUCAAAAUAGUCUACUAGUCCAUAUUGGAUUUUGGUUUUCAAAUUUUCAAAAUUUGACUUCAAAUUCGGAUUCAGCGUUGAAAAUACCAUAAAUAACGUAUGUGUGAUGUAAAUCUACUUAUUUUUUGUACCUUUUAUCAAUUUUUUUGUAUGUACGUCUAUAGACGUACCCUCACAAUCAAGGGGUUAAUGUGUAAUUUUAUGUUGAUAUUUUUUAUAAAAAGCAAUAGAAAAAUAAUAAUUUUGUUCAGAGUAUUUUAAUUGUGUAUAAUUUUGUUUUAAUGUUUGACUUUUUGGUGAAAAAUUGUUUCUAGUCUCUAUAUUUAUAAUCAGUAUUAUUUUAUAUUCUAAGAGGUUUUUUCAUUAAUUUGUUAAUUUAUUGGUUGUAGUUAAAAUUAAGUUUUUUACAAAUAAUAAUGAUUUAACAUUUGCAAACUAUUUAUAAGAAUGAUAAUAGUAUUGUAGAUUUUGAUUUUUAUAUUCGGAAUAACCUUUAAGAUAACUAAUUUAAAAAUAAAGUCAUAAUUUAUGUUCUUUUUUAUAUAUAAGAGUUGGUAUGUUUAUAUAUUUUUUAUGUUAAAAUGGAUAAAUAAUCAUAUUUUUACUGUAAUUUAUUGAAUAACAUAACUUUUAUCAUUUGGGUUAUUGACCACUAGCGACGCCUAUGCAAAACUGCUUGCGUGGCGCUGCGAGCGUUUUGUGAGACGAAUUCAGACGUCUCAUAAUUCAGCUUCAUUCUCACAUGCUUGUUAAGAGAAGAAAUUAUAAAACGUUUUUGAUACAUCUUGAGUUGUAUGGCAUUUAUUCAAUAGAAUAAAAUCAAUAACAAAGGAUUGCAGAAUCCAAUCGUCGAAUUCAUAAAAUCAUUCUGCUCGAUCUACCUUGUGACAUCGGAGGCUAGUAAAAUGGGUGUCUGGAGGGACAACAAAUAAAAUAGAACACGUAGAGGCUAAAGCAGAAUAGAUUCUUGAACGGAUAAAGAUUUGCUUAUAAUAAAGAUAUUUGCUAUCCUUCUCUUACUCAUUCUUACGUUUCCGUUUACGAUUGCGUUCCCGUUUAAGAAUAUAUUCUGCUUAGGCCUUAUCUCAAACACGUGUUUUUGCGAUUAAUUUGAAAUCGACUUUCAAGUGAAUGUUAAGUGGUAAAAAGGUUCGGUAUGUAAAUAAAAUAAGUGUUGCACAGUUGUGAUUCAAUUUACUUCACUAAAUAAAAUACUUGUCAAAAAAAACCAA